UACGGGGGGGGCAAGCGUUGUUCGGAAUUACUGGGCGUAAAGGGCUCGUAGGCGGCCAACUAAGUCAGACGUGAAAUCCCCAGGCUUAACCUGGGAACUGCGUCUGAUACUGGAUGGCUUGAAUUCGGGAGAGGGAUGCAGAAUUCCAGGUGUAGCGGUGAAAUGCGUAGAUACGUCACAGAACACCAAUUGCGAAGGCAGCUUACUAAGGUGCAAUUGACGCUGAGGCACGAAAGCGUGGGGAUCAAACAGG
rnacentral:rRNA from 1 species